rnacentral:lncRNA from 10 species
UUCAGAAAACGUGCUGUGCAAAGCAAUGCCUGUUGAUGUCGUGGAUUACAUCGAUUUUCAAGUGUUGAUCUAGUCACGUACAUGAGAUAAAUCUCAUUUAGUAAUGACAACCCACAACCAACCAGCGUGACCUAUUUCAUCAAUAGUUUCUUACAGAAAAUGAAGUGAGUGUGAUGGGCACUGCUGAAGAAGUAACCAAACAGAAGAAUUUCAAAACUUUAUCAAUUUCUUAUAUUUUAUCUGCUGCAAACAUCCUUCUAUUAUUCCACUCAGGACCACUCCCCAAUCCAAGAAACAGCUGGAUAGACUCGACCUAUUUCAGACUCAGCCAGACUUGCCAAGUCAUCAUAUUACAUGCGGUCUGUUGACUGAUAAGCCCGUUCUAAUAUCCCCAAUUGAUGGAGAGGAUUUUUGGCCUCAGCUAAAAUCUUCCGUUGACACUCUGCCCAGGCUGUUAUGAGGUCUCAUGUAGGCUGAAUACUUGCCCAAGUCAUAAAAGUCUACAUCAUCAAGGCAUCUGUGGACCAAGACCAGAGCUUCAUAUGUGGGUCAUUCCUACCUUCUGCACUAAUUUUACAGGAUCCUUUAAUAGGAAUACCAUUUUUGCAUCUAAUACUAUGACAGCUAAUCGUUUAAAUUUAGCUCCUGUUAGGUAGAGCUUACUCUCCACCAAACACAGUCUAUGUGGCCAGGCUGCCCCUUUUCAUUUGUUUCGCAGGCUAGCUCCUUAAAGAGAAACUGGGUCUCAGUGUAAAAGAAAGGCCAUGUUUCCUCAUCCAAGUGAUAACCUCGUCCUCUUUAUUGGCCCUCUCCUUCUGAUUUUUCUGUCUUCAUUACUUAGUGGGUGGUCACUGUCAAGUAGAGGGUAAAUUAUCUCAGUCCCAGUCCUGGUGACACUGUGCUAGAGAGCACAAAUCCUCCUGCCCAGGUUCCUCUCCUCAUAACAUCUCCCCCAGGACUUCAGGCCCCUCCUCACUCUCUGCGUGGCCUCUUGGUAAGAAGCUGCCAUGAACAAGGACCAGCACAUGAGUUGUAGUUUGGAGCAUGUGCUCACCAGGGCAGUGGCUACUUUAAAGUUCUGGAAGGAACAAAGAUGUAAAUUGCCUUGCUUUUAUUCACUUGAAGUAACACUUAGGCUAGUUUGGCCCCAGGUUUGGGAUCUCAAUAUCCCUCCAAGGAGAAACUAUAAUGACAACAUCACACAGCAUAACUGAGUAUCACGGAGGUGUGCUAGCUGCUUCCAAAGGCUACUCCUCCAGCUAGGCUCAGGAGCCUGGCCUCAGCCUGAUGUCUCUGCCUCACUGUCUCAUUUACCUGCUGUAGUGGUCCCCAAGAAUAAGGAUAUCCUCUUGUCUCAGCACACCCCAAAUCACUGGCUAAAAGGAGCUCUUGCCACUGUAGGCUGUUACAGGGUCACAGAUAGGCAACCCUUGGUCUAGAAGUGUGUACUUCUCCCUCUUUUCUAUUUAGGCCUGCAGGUCUUACAACAUCUAGCACCUUCCUGGUGGGGGACCCAGACAGGAGCACUAACCACUUUUCCUGGGCCUCUGACUCCAAAAGUCAAUUCUAAUGGUGGGGAUUUACUCAGUUAUUGGUGCUCCUGCUUGGCCAGGCUAAUAAGGUAUGGGGGUACAUGUAAAAUAUUAAGAGUACAAUACAGCAUGGAGCAAUGUUAUACCAAACUAACGUAUGGGCUUUCCAAUGAUUGUUUCACUAACUGGGUAGACCCCCAUAUGAAUUCCUUGAUCAUAACCAAAAAUCACCUCAUCUUCAUUGCCACUUGAAGCGAGUUCAGGAUUUCAGGGCUGAUAAAAAAAAUAUAUAUAUGAUAGCAAGGGGGCAUUAACAAACAAUGAGUUUUAUUAGGGUGGUACCUUGACAGGUUUUCAUGUGUAUGUGUGGUGGGGCAUGAGGGGCGCAUAUUACAGCAUGAGACCUUCCAGUGACAAUGGCACAGGACUACCAUCCAGAAGGAAACUAGGGCAAGGGCAAGAGAGGGUAAUUGGUGAGGGGCUUGUGUAUCUACAUGAUGUCACAAAGCAGCAACAUGAGAAGUCUCUAGGACCAAGAUUUUCAAAGGACAGCAGUGGCUUAGAGUCUUUUAUAACUCCAGAAUUUGUCUUAUCUAACUAAGGCUAGUAGAUGUUGAGUGAAAUGUUCUGGGAUAUGCAAAGCAGGCAGACUCUAACUCACUAAAAAUAUGCUUAUUUGGACUACAUUUUUAAGCAAUUGAAUGUGUAAAAAUUUGAGUUUUCCUCUGGGCUAAUGAUACCAUUAUCAUGAGCCUUGAGGAAAUAAACAAUCUACAGCCAAUAGAAGAUGUCUUUCGACUACUUACAUAACAUUCUCAUCAGAAGCAAACACAUAGGCUACUGGAAGACAGCAGCAAACAUUUUUGACUCAGAGCACAGGCAAAGAAUGACUGAUUCUAGGAAAUGAAUAGAAAAAAAUCUGUCUCCCCUCUGAGGGAGAAAUAGGAAGUCUUUCUAACCAUAGAACACAUUGCUGUUUCUAGAUAAAGACACUUGGAGAAACCAUUGUUGCUUGGAGAAAUAUGUUUAAAAAAUAUUAUUCUACCUGUGGCAGAAGGGUGGAACAUCACCUCUGAUUUAGGAUCGUACACCAAUGCUAAGCAGAAGUCUGCUACCACUAGCAGAAGGGCAGUAAACUCUCUCUUGCCCAAAAAUGACUACAGAUAAAAACAGAUAAUUUCUGCAAUGGAAAGGAUGUGUAAGAACAUUGAGAUAGCUGUAAAUAUAAGACUGACAUGCACUGAGUUAGGCUAAGCCUGAAACUGGAGCAGGGUAACAGAGGACUUUGCUUCCCCUACCAUGAACCCAGUACUAAGUAACAAGAGCAGUCUACUUUUGGGAGAGGGAAAGACUCUGGAAGAGCCCUCUCUGUGGCUGAGACACACCAGGAUGGUUAAAAACUGAAGGAAAGGUGGAAAAGAAAAGCAAUAGUGCCCCCUUAUACAUAAUUUCACCUUCCACAGUUUCAGUCACCCACAGUCAACCAUGGUUUGAAAAUAGGAGAGUAUAAUACCAGAAGAUAUUUGUGGAAGAGUGUUUGAAAUGGUAAAAAAUUAAUGUAGAUAUAAAACAUAUUUUCUUCUUUUUAAUCACUAAAAUAUAUACUUAUCUAAAGUUUUAUUUUGACUAUGCCAACUUUGAAUUUCUCUUAGAUAAUCCAAAUGAAGAAAUCAAGAAGUUGGUUAAAUCAACAAUCCUGGAGCUCAGUGGGGUAAACUGAAACCGGAAACAUUUAAAUAUUGUUAGCAUGCAGGUGACAUUUAAAGCCACAAGACCAGAAAAGAUGAUCUACAAAGAGGGUAUAAUUUGAGAAAAUAAGAAUGUAAGCACUGAGUCUUAGGAAUAUUUAACAUGUGGACACAAGGAAGAGAAAAAUGACCCAGAAAAGAAAAUUGAAAGGCUUGGUAUGUGAGCAAGAAAGAAAACCUGGAAGUGUUUGGUUUCAGAAGCCAAAUGAAGACAGAAUUUCAAGAUAGUGGGACUGGCUUACUAUCUGGAAGUGCUAUCAACCAAAGUCUAAUACUAUGCAGAUAGCAACUAGCAUGGCCAAUUUUGGGAAUUCAAAGAAAAAAUUUUAAUGGAAGUGUUAAUUACUAUAAUUCAUUACAAUGAUACAUCAAAGGAGAUGAAUAAUACAAUUAUGUUUAUAAAUGUCCCAAUAAGAAAGAGUAAAGGAUAUUAAGAGUAGAAAUCUGAAACUCAGCGACUACUUUCAAACAUAGUACUUGAAAAGUUUUCUAAUUAUUUAAAAUAUAAUAUCCUAAUUUGUAUAACUGGAGUUAUAAGAGUCCUGAUUUAUAGAGGUGAGGUUGCAGUGGAAUCAUAUAGGUAAAGUUCUUAGGAUAGGGGUCAUAGAAAGUACUGAAUUUUUUUUUUUUUUUUGAGGCAGGGUUUCACUCUGUCACCCAGUCUGGAGUGCAGUGCUGUGAUCAUGGCUCACUGCAGCCUCAACUUCUGGACUCAGGUGAUUCUCUUGCCUCAGUCUCCCAAGUAGCUGGGACUAUGUGCACCACCAUGCCUGGCUAAUUUUAAUACUUUUUGUAGUGACAGGAUCUCGCUAUGUUGCCCAGGCUGGUCUAGAAUUUCUGGGCUCAAGCAAUCCGCCCACAUCAGCCUCUUAAAGGGCUGGGAUUACAGGUGUGAGACACUGUGCCUGGACUGAAUAAUCAUUUUUAAUUAAAAUUUGAUAAGAAUGAACUCCCAUUCCUAACUGUUAAAGAAGAUUAUUUUUCUUUAACAUGAUAAAAAGUCUUAAACUACAGCAAAACUUUAAGGUAAAUUAAUUUUCACUGCAGUUACUUAACAAUAUCUUGGAAGUUCAUGCUAGGUGAGAGAGUUCUAAAGAAAACAAGUAAUUGCUAUUAGAAAAGGAAAGAGUAACAUCACCUGUCUGCAGAUAAUAUAAUUAUCUAUCUAGAAAUUUAGAGAGAAUAAAGUACUAUUUAAACCAAGGUAAUUUGCUCAUAUAUCCAGAUGAAAAAUAAAUGUGUGACAACUAGUACUCUUGCUAUUUAUCAGUAACUCUCUGGUAGGGUACAUGAGAAAGGCCAUAUCUCAUUGAUUAUUCAAAUUUUAAAAUAUUAAAUAUCCAAAAAUGCAUAGUCAUUGUAUAUCCAUAUAUUAUCAAAAUAUUCAGAGUAUUAUUACAUUCUUUUCAGGGACAUAAAAUAACAUCUUAAUUAUAUAUGUGUGUAAUAUUCUCAGAUGGGAAAAUGCCAUAAACAGCUAUCCCCAACACAUUUAUAUAGAUUUUUUUCAAAAAUUAGAAGAAAAAUUCCUUCUGGAAGGAACAGUUUUAAUUUUUUUUCUCCUAAGUUCAACACUUCUUUUUGGGAAGAAUAGAAAGAUCAGCCAAUAAAAUGUUAAAUGACAAGAGUCAGAAGGAGGGCACUUACUAGCCUCCCAGACAGUAAAACAUACAAAAAAUUCAUGAUGAUAAAAACAGUAUUUGUACUGGUGUAGUAGUAAAGUUCACUUUAUAUAUGAAUAUAAAUAUCAUAUUCUGAAGGCAUGCUGAAUUAGUGUGUUUCAAAUUAAUGGAACUGGAAAGACUGACUAAUCAUUUGAAAGUAAAUUAAGAAUCUUAUUUUGCCAUGAGCCCAAAUAUGCAGCAGAUGAACUGAAGACAAACAUAUAAAUAAUGGAACCAUUAAUUUUUAAGAUGAAUGUAUUUGUAAAUCUUUCUAAAAUUUCAGCUUUAGGGAUUACUUUUGCCUUAUUGUAAUAAAGACUAGCUUUCUAAAUUUCAAAGAUGGAUCUAGAGGAUAUUUUGUCCUUCAAAUGAGUGGGAUUUUACACUAGAAAUACAGGCUCACAAGAUAGGAAACUAAGCAAGUUUUAAUUUUUCCUCCUAGACUGUUCCUGUGGGUAAUGAAAUGGCAGGGAGUGGUAGCUAAAGAUAGUAGAGAGGAAUAGAGAUUUUCACACUCUCAGCUGAAUUGGUGCACACCAAUGGAAAAGAGAUUAGACUUUAAUCUUGCUGCCUGUGUGUCUCCAAGAAAACUGGGUCUUGUCUUCCCAGGGAAGGCACUCUACUUCCCCUUGCAGGUCUUAACACUCAAACAACUGCAGCUUUGGUGAAGUGCCUAUCUUAUUUCAUAGAACUACUCCAGACAGCCACCUGGAAGUCUCUGUUUAUAGGGCCAACUAGGUAUGGUUUAAAUCUUAUCAAGAAUUGCCAAGAAGACUCAAUUUUCUCUUAUCUCUCUCUCUCUCAUACACAUAUCCUACUUAAAAUAUAUUACGAAAUAUUCUUUCAUUAAAAAAAUUUAAUUCUAAAUUUAAUUCUAAAUUCAAGCUUUUGCCUUAUUAACUUGAAUCUGUCAACUUUAUACUUAACUCACAUAAUGUCUACAAGUUUCCAGCAAUUUAGUGAACAUGCUGGUGUUAAAGUAUUUUUAUAAAAGAGUGUGAUACCACAGUUUCUUCCCCUAAAUAAAUGUUGGGUGAAAAAUUAACAUCUGACAGGAGAUAAUAUUUGCAGCAUAUAAGAGUUAAUAUCAAUACAUCUUUAAAAUCUUAAUAAAUAAGGGACAAAUAAAUAUCCCAAUGGAAAUUUUGGAAAAUGCCUAAGCAAACAAUUCAGAAAUGGAUAAAUAUAUAUCAGCAAUUAACAUAGAUUUAAAAUGUUCAUUUUUCCUAGAAAGCUAAGUAGAUGCAAAUUAAAACAGUAAUACAACAUUUUAAAUUUUCAAAUGGGAUUUUAAAAAUAAAAUAACAAGACUGUAUAAAUAGGAAUUUUUAUAUAUUUUUAAAAAUUGUAAACGGACACCAUAUUUAGGACAAUUCAGCAGUACAUAGUAAGAAAUAAAUUUCUCACUGAAUGCCAAGACAUUCUUUUAAGCUACUGUGUAUAUUAGCUCACUUAAUCUUCAUAACAGUCUUGAGGUGUAGGUAUUAUUAUAGAUGGUGGACACUACAGAAGUGAGAAAAAUGACACACAGAGGGUAUUUGUGACAUUCCUAGGUGACAUAGCUAGCAGGGGGCAGGACCAGGGGUCUAACUAAGGCAGGCUGCUUUCACAGUCCAACUUCAAAAGUACUCUUCUGUCACCCUGCUCAAGGUUUUACAAUAGAAGUACUGCUGACAUACAAACUUACGUUAGAAGAAGAUGCUAAGGAAAUAGUCAUGAACAUCCAUAAAAAUUUCCUUACCAAUGUAUCUUAGCAACACCGUUUACACUAGAAGAAAAUUGAAAACAUCCAACACAGAGCGUACCUGAAUAUAAUAAGUGAAAUAAAGAUAUAUUGAAGUUAUUAAAAUGUUAUAAAAAGUAUGAGAUGAUAUAAAAAAUGUGCAAUAUAUUUAUUUGGUGAAAAUACGUUAAAACAGUACAAUAUAACAUUGUUUACAGACUCUGAAAUUAUAAAUAUCAAGGUAAUGGGUUAUUGUGUUUGAUUAACGAUAUUUUUGUUUACUUUUAAGGUGUAUUUAUUUCUAUAAAUAUUAUAAAAAAUCAAAUAAAUCUUUUAAGAUAGAAGAAAACACAUAUGAAAUUACUUAGUCUCCUCUAGGUAGACAGGGUUAUUGUUUCUUUUUUGUAACUUUCAUUUUAGGUUCAGUGGUACAUGUGAAGGUUUCUUAUAUAGGUAAAUUUGUGUCCUAAAGGUUUGUUGUACAGAUUAUUUCAUCAACCAGGUAUUAACCCUGGUACUCAAUAGUUAUUUUAUUUAUUUAUUUGUUUUUGCUCCUCUCUUUCCUCCCACCCUCCACCUUCAGGAAAAACUGAAAAGAAUUCAACAUGAUAUUUUUAUAUUUGACUAUAUAAAAAUGUAAAAUAUCUGUAUGAUAAAAUCAUUAAACUUUGAGGGCAAAUUUUAAAAUGUGAAAAAUAAA